GGACCGGACAGGGAAGGGCCCUCUGGGGCUGCAGAUGCCGGCCCAGGGAAGCGCCUGGGGACCGGGAACCGGGGACCGGGACCUGGAGAUCUAGUCCCGGACCACCAAGCGGAAGUGAGGUGUCCCCCCCCUCACCUCGGAGCAUCGGCUCGGGCCGCGGGAUCACGGCCACCACCACGGCCUCGUCGUCAUCAUCCCCUUCCUCACACUUGAGCGUCACCUCGAAGCAAUCCAGAGCCGCGGCGCCCUUGGCUUUCAGGGCCAUGGCGAGGCGAAGAAGGGCGACCGGAUAGCCGAGGACGUUCGCACAGACCUCGGCGCACCGCCUGUGGCGGCCGCCUCCUGCCCCGGACCACCCCGGGCCCGCGGCUCGCCUAGCUCACCCGCCGCUCGCCCGGCCGCCCCGCCAGCCACGGGCUUCAACGCGUCACGACCCCGGGCGGGGAGGGUUCGAUCCGGGGCCCCCAACCCCGCCGCUCCCUUUUAUGGAGGCUCAUUGUCAGCGUCCGUCCGGCAGUCCCGCCUCCAGACCAGGCUGGCCAAUCACGUGAGGACACGCCCCCUAGCCCCGCCCCAGCCACAGGUCUGGGCCAGAACCCUGUGCAGCGCGUUUGUCUCUGGCCGGUUUGCUCGGCGGCGAAGCCUGGAGUUUUCCUGGGAGCGGCGCCGGCAGCCUUGGAGACCCGGUAGGGCAUCCCCACCAAUGGCUGGAGGAAAGGGCUGCUCGGCAUCUUACUUCUUGGCUUUCCCCUGACUAGCUGCCUGCCUGGGAGGCAACACAGACGAGAAAAGACCGGUGGGGAUGUGUGAAGGAUACAUAGGCUCAGAAGUGUGGAGACAUCUCUUCUAAUUUCUUUGGGCCUCGUUCCUUUCUACUAGCACAUACGCUUUAGGGAAAGAAAAAUCACUUUGGAUCCUCCUAAACAAAGAUUCUAGAAGAUGAAGAGGACAAGAGUGGCGUGUGGGCGUGUGUAAACCGCUUCCGAUGGAUAUAAUUUACGUUAAAAACAAAACAAAACAAAAAACGUGAGUCCAGAGAGUGUGGCCUUUUCCCAGGACACAGCAAAUCCCCUGAGAGCCUCCAAGACCGGGAUCCGGUUGCUAUGGCGCUGCUGCCUGGCAUUCGUGCCUGAGUGAAGACUGUCACAAUGGGCACUUACACUUCUGCAUAACAUCCCCUCCCCACACACAUACACACACCAGACACGCUAGAUUUCAGCUGAGAAACGGCAAAAAUGUCUGGCACUCAAAAUUCUGAUUUUAAGUGCUACCAACAGUAAUUAUCAGCCCAGAAACAGUAAUUGUGGAUGAUGUAGGAGGCUAGGGGACAGAAGAGAAACAGUUCACUUACCGUAUAUUGUGUGUGUGUGUGUGUGUGUGUGUGUGUGUGUGUUUGUGUGUGCGCGCGCGCCCUGGGCAUACCCCCCCCCCCCCCAUCCACUGCAUAACCAGCUUUUAUUUUGUUGAGAUAAGGACUCACUUUCAUGUCAGUCUGACCUGGAAUCUGUGUAACCCUGCUUGCCCCAAACCUUUUCCUCCUCCCUCCAUUCCCCUGGCACAAGGAUUAAAGGUCUGAGCUGACACCACAUACAGCAGCCACAAUAGAAAGAACUGAGGAAAUUUCUAUUACUUUGAAAUGUACCCAGUACUAAAAAGAUACUCCAAAUCAAGCAAUUUCCUAGGCCUGGAUAGUUCUUACCUAAAGGCUGUUCUUUGCUUUUUGCCCAAUGCCUCUGGGUAGGUAGUCUGUUCUGUUUUUGCA
ensembl:antisense 1700105P06Rik RIKEN cDNA 1700105P06 gene